GCCCCCGUAGCUCAAUGGAUAGAGCGCUUCGCUUCGGACGAAGAGGUUCUGGGUUCGAAUCCUGGCGGGGGCA
rnacentral:tRNA from 1 species